UUGUUCGGAUAACCGCUGUACAUUUAUGAUGUAUAGAGGAAAGUCCAUGCUCGCACAGUCUGAGACGACUGUAGUGUUCGUGCCUGGCGAAGUCAUAAGCCAGGGCAGUUGAACCUUGUUCAGCUGACGGCAGGUGAUAAAACCUAAGUCUUUGGAUAAGGUUUUAUGUACCUUGAAAGUGCCACAGUGACGGAGUCUGGAUGGAAACAUCCAGAGUGGAACGCGGUAAACCCCACGAGCGAGAAACCCAAACUAGGUAGGGGCAUCUUUGCUGAGAAAUUCAACGAGGCAAAGGACAGAGCAUUAUUGUUCUGUAGACAGAUGGUUAUCGAUUCAGGAGAGCUCACCGUUUGGUCUCCUGGAGAACAGAACAUGGCUUACAGAA
rnacentral:RNase_P_RNA from 2 species